ensembl:lncRNA
AUGCAUAAACUUUGUGAGGGAAAGGUAAGCACAUUUAAUGAGCUCAGUUCACUCCUGGGUCACGCCAGGAGCAGAAGGACAAGACUUCCAUCACUGGAAAGACCACCCAGAGAGGAGGAAGCUGUGCUUGCCCAGGAAGGAGGAAAAGCAAGAAGAUCCCAAUGGUUUUCCUUCAGAGCCCAAGCCAUGACUACCAGCUGCCUCCACAGCAGAAGUCGAGGGGCCCCAACCAUGGAGAAGGGGCCUGUUUCUUUUCAGCGUGAGUACACCUCGUUUCCUUUGUGCUGGCAAGGCUGUCUGUAGACAAGAGAAUAGAAAUCCAACACGCUCUUUGGUUUUCUUUAUGAUGGCCUUUUCGUUUGUUGGGAGUUUUUGUUUCCAUGAUUUUAUAUCGUUCUGCUGUUCGUAUAUCUGAAAGGGAAAUGAAAUAGAAACUAGUAUAUUAAUGACAGCUACUGUACAUGGAGGAUGAGCUGGCCAUGGAUUUGCACAGCUGCAGCCAACUGGGAAUGAGUAUUGUCAAAUUCUUGAAUUUCCAUUCAAGAAUCCCACUGACAAUGCACAGGAGAAUUGGGAAUUUGGAACCUUGUUCUCAGAGCAGUUUUGUCUCCACAAGGAUGGUGUAGAUAAAAAGGAUUUGCCCAUGGGGACACCUGUGCCAUCUUGUUGCCUGUGUAACUGGCUGGGAGUAGAUAAACAAGCCUACACAUGUGCAAGAAAGAAGAGUUGUUGCUUCCUUUUACCAAAGUGGUAUUGCUUUGCAAGGAGUAGCAUCCAAAAUAUGUAACUGAGGACACUCACUUGGCAAGUUCACUCAAAAGGAAGUUGUGUUUUGCAUAGUAAUUUCACUGACCUAUACUUUCUCAUGAAAAAAUAUAAUGCAUAUUGUCUGUAAGGAUAGAAAUCAAGCUAUUGGAAAAGAACUGUCCAUUCUCUGGAAUCAAUGUACUUAGUCUGAGAAUUUGUGAAACUGGACUGAGGUUUCCAAUACUAAAAUUAUGGCUAAUUUUGACAAGUGCAUUUGUAUUAAUAGUCCUAACAUAUGAGAUGCUAUGGAAGAAUUUAGGAUUUUAUUGUCACUAAAACAAAAGCUGGGAAACAUUUUUCUAAUUACACCACGAAAAUGUUUUCCACAAUGACUAUUAAAAAAAAAAAAGAGAGAGAAAGGGUUAAUUAUGUAAAUUUCCAUCACCAAAAGUCUUGUUUCCACUGCAGGGCAUUAAACUUUAAAUUAAACUUCAGAUGUUGCCCAUAGCUGCACUGGGUCUCUGUGCCUGAAAGGUUGCCUUCUUUUUCCAGCUGUAUCAGUUGAUCUGAUGAAAGAUCUUGCUGAUCCUUAGAGCUUACCUUUCUGGUUUUGGAGAUAUUGCAGCUCAGUAAAUCUUAUUGAGUGUUUCGUCUUGACCUUCUUAUAAAGGUAAAAGUGUCUUGGAUUCAGACCUAGUCCCCUGAAUACUUUCCUUGUCGAUAAUGUAACGCAUUUAGUUUUAAACGCUGUGCAUGGCCAGGACAGGAUUAGCAAGGCAUUAACUGAUUGCAGGAGGAUCAAGGAAGUAGAUUAGUGCUGCUUCACAACCCAGAAAGUUGAUGAUUCUGAAGGUAAACACCCCUACUUGGGGACAUGAGAUAAUGAAAGCAAGAUUUAAUCAACUGCUUUGAGAAAAGAGUGAAGUCAGUCUAUGUGUUGCUUUUCCAAUAUAUUCCAGUUAUCCCUCAACAUAACUAUAUUUUAAUACAAUGCCAGCUUUCUUUUUAAUAAGAUCCUUGAAAUUUCUUUUAGGCCACCUAAAAUGUCAUGGCUUUUUCCUUCAUCAAUCAAAACAUAUUUUUUUAAACUGCAGGAUGUUUGUUCAGUAGAGCUCGCUGUUUUUCUUUCAUUGAUUUUCUUUUUAACACAGUCGUUGAAAACUUAAUUUUGAGUUUAGUCAGCUUUGUUCAAGACGCAUUGCUAUUCGAAGUAGAAUUUGUGGUAUGUUUUCUGCAGUCCAGUGCAAGGGACGUACAGCAUGAUGGAUGGUGUUUGGAAUGAAAAGCUGAAUGAGUACAGGCAUUACCAAAGCUGCUCUCUUGAUCUGAAAUGAGAAAUCCCUUUCUUUGUUACUCCUUGAUAAGAAAUUUAGAGCGACACAUUGUUGGAAAAAAAAUCCCUCUGAAAAAUAAAUGCUACUUGAGAUUUAGUGGUAAGAUAUGG